rnacentral:rRNA from 1 species
AGAGUUUGAUCCUGGCUCAGGACGAACGCUGGCGGCGCGCCUAACACAUGCAAGUCGAACGAGAGAGAGGAAGCUUGCUUCCUCAAUCGAGUGGCGAACGGGUGAGUAACGCGUGAGGAACCUGCCUCAAAGAGGGGGACAACAGUUGGAAACGACUGCUAAUACCGCAUAAGCCCACGGGUCGGCAUCGACCAGAGGGAAAAGGAGCAAUCCGCUUUGAGAUGGCCUCGCGUCCGAUUAGCUAGUUGGUGAGGUAAUGGCCCACCAAGGCAACGAUCGGUAGCCGGACUGAGAGGUUGAACGGCCACAUUGGGACUGAGACACGGCCCAGACUCCUACGGGAGGCAGCAGUGGGGAAUAUUGCACAAUGGGGGAAACCCUGAUGCAGCGACGCCGCGUGGAGGAAGAAGGUCUUCGGAUUGUAAACUCCUGUUGUUGAGGAAGAUAAUGACGGUACUCAACAAGGAAGUGACGGCUAACUACGUGCCAGCAGCCGCGGUAAAACGUAGGUCACAAGCGUUGUCCGGAAUUACUGGGUGUAAAGGGAGCGCAGGCGGGAAGACAAGUUGGAAGUGAAAUCCAUGGGCUCAACCCAUGAACUGCUUUCAAAACUGUUUUUCUUGAGUAGUGCAGAGGUAGGCGGAAUUCCCGGUGUAGCGGUGGAAUGCGUAGAUAUCGGGAGGAACACCAGUGGCGAAGGCGGCCUACUGGGCACCAACUGACGCUGAGGCUCGAAAGUGUGGGUAGCAAACAGGAUUAGAUACCCUGGUAGUCCACACCGUAAACGAUGAUUACUAGGUGUUGGAGGAUUGACCCCUUCAGUGCCGCAGUUAACACAAUAAGUAAUCCACCU